UAACACGUAGUCAACCUAACUCGUGGACGUGGAUAACCUCGGGAAACUGAGAAUAAACCACGAUAGAUCAUAGUGCCYGGAAUGGCUUAUGGUCCAAACAGUUUACUGCCAUGGGAUGGGACUGCGGCCUAUCAGCUUGUUGGUGAGGUAAUGGCCCACCAAGGCGAUUACAGGUACGGGCUCUGAGAGGAGAAGCCCGGAGAUGGGUACUGAGACACGGACCCAGGCCCUAUGGGGCGCAGCAGGCGAGAAACCUUAGCAAUGUGCGAAAGCACGACUGGGUCAGUCCGAGUGAUUCCUGAUAAAGGAGUCUUUUGCCUGUCCUAAAAGCACAGGUGAAUAAGGGGUGGGCAAGUCUGGUGUCAGCCGCCGCGGUAAUACCAGCACCUCGAGUGGUCAGGACGUUUAUUGGGCCUAAAGCAUCCGUAGCCGGCUCUGCAAGUCUUCGGUUAAAUCCACCUGCUCAACAGAUGGGCCGCUGGAGAUACUACAGAGCUAGGGAGUGGGAGAGGCAGACGGUAUUCAGUGGGUAGGGGUAAAAUCCUCUGAUCCAUUGAGGACCACCAGUGGCGAAGGCGGUCUGCCAGAACACGUUCGACGGUGAGGGAUGAAAGCUGGGGGAGCAAACCGGAUUAGAUACCCGGGUAGUCCCAGCUGUAAACGAUGCAAACUCGGUGAUGCAUUGGCUUAUGGCCAAUGCAGUGCCGCAGGGAAGCCGUUAAGUUUGCCGCCUGGGAAGUASGGACGCAAGUMUGAAACUUAAAGGAAUUGGCGGGGGAGCACCACAAGGGGUGAAGCCUGCGGUUCAAUUGGAGUCAACGCCAGGAAUCUUACCCGGGGAGACAGCAGAAUGAAGGUCAAGCUGAAGACUUUACCAGACAAGCUGAGAGGUGGUGCAUGGC
rnacentral:rRNA from 1 species